CUACGGAGGGUGCAAGCGUUAUCCGGAAUCAUUGGGUUUAAAGGGUCCGUAGGCGGAUAAUUAAGUCAGGGGUGAAAUCCCACAGCUCAACUAUGGCACUGCCUUUGAUACUGGUUAUCUUGAGUUAUAGGGAAGUAGAUAGAAUAUGUAGUGUAGCGGUGAAAUGCAUAGAUAUUACAUAGAAUACCGAUUGCGAAGGCAGUCUACUAUCUGUAUGCUGACGCUAAGGGACGAAAGCGUGGGGAGCGAACAGGAUUAGAAACCCUAGUAGUCC
rnacentral:rRNA from 1 species